UUUCUAAAGAGUUCCUUUUCUCUUCUUGAAUAUAAGCCAUUUAACAAUGUGAGACAUGUCUUUUGUGGUUAUUUGUAAUAUCCUGUAUGUGUCUGGAGUACUUUGAUGCCUUGGAUUGGAAGCUAACUUAAAAGAUGAACUUUUGAGGGUGUGUUUUCUAUUGUGUGGGGCUUUUGUCGAAAUUAGGAUUCCGAAACGCGUUUUUCUACGGUGGGUUCAUUCGACAGCGAUUUACUUUCUUAGAAGUUGCGAGACGGUAUGUUUUUGAUUGCAAUUAUUAGAAGAUGACAGAUCCAUCUUUAAAAUGAUACCAGGUUCGGAAAAAUUGAUACGUCGGAAAGGCAAGAAAAAUGCUGUGAAAGUUGUCAGUUUUAUAAUGGGACCCUAUGGGAAUCGGAAUUAGUGUAAUAUAACCUUUAAAAAGCGCAUUUACUGUAAUGUCAAGGUCACAUGGAUUCGUCUGCAAGCGAGACAAGUAGAAAAUGAAUUUUAAUGAAUGUUUUGAUGAUUUGGGUGCUAAAAUAGAUGAGAGAUGUCAAUAUUUUGGUCCAAAUGGAUGUUUUAGGUGGUUUUGGACUGUUCCGGAUGGGUGGGGGACCUGGUAUGGACAAGUAAGGGUAACAUUUCCAACAAAUCUUAAAUGUAAAUAUUAUUAUGUCCCUAGAUUGUAGUUUCAGGUGGAGAGCAAGAUGAAAAAUAUGCCAAAUUACAUGCAUGCAGCCCAUUUAUGCCAUUUUUCUCUUUGUUUGUAGGCCUGACCGUUUGUCCUUGAGCCAUCGAUGGUCAACAAUCCGCUAGCUGUCUUGCUCUGACUGGUGCACUGGACAUGAUUUCAAUAGUUAGCCAGACCAUGAUUGAGCUUAAGGAUUGUGCUGCGGAUGCAGCCUGUGCAGUUCCGGGAGAAAGUCACUGUCUUGGGCAAUGCGGUCUGGUAUCAGGUCUGGAUGAUCCUUGCCUGACUGCGGGUUUGUGUACACCUCAAUCCGACUCUGUGUCCUGAACAGAGGCCGCAGUGGUGCAGCGCUUGUGGACGUUCCAUCAACAUCCUGAAAGGUCAACACUACACCCAGCUGGGAAAAUUGAUCCUGAUAGUCAUCCCCAGGCCUGACCGUUUGUCCUUGAGCCAUCGAUGGUCAACAAUCCGCUAGCUGUCUUGCUCUGACUGGUGCACUGGACAUGAUUUCAAUAGUUAGCCAGACCAUGAUUGAGCUUAAGGAUUGUGCUGCGGAUGCAGCCUGUGCAGUUCCGGGAGAAAGUCACUGUCUUGGGCAAUGCGGGUCUGGUAUCAGGU